AUUGAACGCUGGCGGCAGGCCUAACACAUGCAAGUCGAGCGGAAACGAGGAAUAGCUUGCUAUUCUGGCGUCGAGCGGCGGACGGGUGAGUAAUGCCUAGGGAUCUGCCCAGUCGAGGGGGAUAACCAUCGGAAACGAUGGCUAAUACCGCAUACGCCCUACGGGGGAAAGGAGGGGACCUUCGGGCCUUUCGCGAUUGGAUGAACCUAGGUGGGAUUAGCUAGUUGGUAAGGUAAUGGCUUACCAAGGCGACGAUCCCUAGCUGGUUUGAGAGGAUGAUCAGCCACACUGGAACUGAGACACGGUCCAG
rnacentral:rRNA from 1 species